GGGUCUGGCUGGCCGGUCCGCCUCACCGCGAGUACUGGUCCGGCUGGACCUUUCCUUCUGGGGAAUCCCAUGGCCUUCACUGGCUGUGGGUGGAACCAGGACUUUUACUGUGAAAAAAUUAGAGUGUUCAAAGCAGGCCUUUGCUCGAAUACAUUAGCAUGGAAUAAUAGAAUAGGACGUGCGGUUCUAUUUUGUUGGUUUCUAGGACCGCCGUAAUGAUUAAUAGGGAUAGUCGGGGGCGUCAGUAUUCAGCUGUCAGAGGUGAAAUUCUUGGAUUUGCUGAAGACUAACUACUGCGAAAGCAUUCGCAAAGGAUGUUUUCAUUAAUCAGGGAACGAAAGUUAGGGGAUCGAAGACGAUCAGAUACCGUCGUAGUCUUAACCAUAAACUAUGCCGACUAGGGAUCGGGCGGCGUUUCUAUGAUGACCCGCUCGGCACCUUACGAGAAAUCAAAGUUUGUGGGUUCUGGGGGGAGUAUGGUCGCAAGGCUGAAACUUAAAGAAAUUGACGGAAGGGCACCACAAGGCGUGGAGCCUGCGGCUUAAUUUGACUC
rnacentral:rRNA from 1 species